rnacentral:lncRNA from 1 species
GAAAUCUUUCACUAAAAGGUAUUACACAUAUUGAACUAAUAUGUUUUAAUCAUAGAAGCUAAAAGGUAUUAAGAACCUGAACAAGAAGUGGUCUCAGUGAUACUGGAUUGGAAUGAUGCAAUAAAAUGCUUGUCGGGAUUGUUGAUAUUUGACCAAGUAGCUUUUGUUACAGCCAUGUACUUGCUAUCUAAGAUUUUUGGCACAUGCAUUAAUUAGAAAACGUGAUAAGUUUUAUGUGUAAAUGGGUUUAUGGCUAAAAGUAGAAGUGGUCAGUUACAAGUGUCGACGAAUUUGGUUUGUCGAAAAAGUGAUAUCAUCUUUGAUCGAAUAGUAAUCAGUAUAUUUGUUUUGAGACUUUGUGAAAUUUAGAGUUUCCAUAAUAUUUUUCCAAUUAGAUGAAUGAGAUGUAAGUGGAUAACAUCAGACAGUUAUUUGAGGACACAUGAGAGUUUGUCAAAUACAAAGGCUGCAUGGAGACGAAGACGUUACAUGUUUUGCUUAGUCGAUCGUUAUAGACGGUUAACUUAAGACUAGUAUAUAAGUAAGCAUACACUUAUCUUUUUAGAGGUCCACAAUUGUACAAAAAUUCUGUAAAACUUAAACUAUUCGUGUGUUUGUGAGAAUAGAGUCAAGAAUGUAUGUAUAUGCGUUCCAUUUUUUACAAAUCAAAGUUUUUAUCUUCAGUUAUUUACUGAAUUGAAAUUUAUUCCAAUUAAUUUUUGUUUCCUANUCAGUGAUACUGGAUUGAAUGAUGCCAAUAAAAUGCUUGUCGGUAUGUUGCAUAAUUUGACCAAGUAGCUUUUGUUACAGCCAUGCUAACUGUGCUAUUCUAAGAUUUUUGGCACAUGGCAUUUAAUUAGAAAACGUGAUAAGUUUUAUGUGUAAAUGGUUUAUGGCAAAAGUAGAAUGUGCUGUCAGUUACAAGUGUCGACGAAUUGGUUUUGUCGAAAAAGUGAUAUCAUCUUUGAUCGAAUAGUAAUCAGUAUAUUUGUUUUGAGACUUUGUGAAAUUUAGAGUUUCCAUAAUAUUUUUCCAAUUAGAUGAAUGAGAUGUAAGUGGAUAACAUCAGACAGUUAUUUGAGAACACAUGAGAGUUUGUCAAAUACAAAGGCUGCAUGGAGACGAAGACGUUACAUGUUUUGCUUAGUCGAUCGUUAUAGACGGUUAACUUAAGACUAGUAUAUAAGUAAGCAUACACUUAUCUUUUUAGAGGUCCACAAUUGUACAAAAAUUCUGUAAAACUUAAACUAUUCGUGUGUUUGUGAGAAAAGAGUCAAGAAUGUAUGUAUAUGCGUUCCAUUUUUUACAAAUCAAAGUUUUUAUCUUCAGUUAUUUACUGAAUUGAAAUUUAUUCCAAUUAAUUUUUGUUUCCUAUUAUAUUUAUUUUCAAUCAUUGUAAUUAUUUUUGUUUCUUUUAUAUUUUGAUUUCAAUGUAAAACAUGCUUCAAACAUUAAUUUUCACGCAAUAUGUUUUGGGAUCUCUUCGAGUUUAAUCCCGUGAAUGAAAUCAAACUUGUUUUGUUUAUCAAAUUUCAAAGUGAACAAGUACUACCAUUAUUAAAUAACUUCAUCCACAUCCUUUCUUUUAUUUUUACCUCGAGAGUGCAUCAAUUUCUGAUUGAAUAUUGCACUUAAUUGCAAACGAUGUCAAGUCUUCCAAUGUCAAGUAGAUUUUUUUCAUCCUACAUGCUCAAUUGUUCUCAAACCUAAUAAUUUCAUUGUCUACUGAACUUUGGUUGGGGAUGCUUAGAUCUUCAUUUGAAUCAUUUCCUGGUGCUUUUAAGUCUUUUUUUGUCCAAGAGUGAACUAGUGACCCAAGAAUAAAGGAUUAAAAGCAACUUUAAUAUGUGGAAUGAUGCAUUAUUUACUAACGUUUUUCCUUUCAUUUUGUAUGACCUUGGCAGUGUGAAAAAGCUUGGUAAGUUUUUACAAAUAAGCAUUACUUCGAAAAUCAGCUAUCAUAACGGUUGGAAAAGGACACAACCACGUCUGAUCAACCAUUGUUAGGUAGGAUGUAUUGUAUGUAUGAUGCUUUCUAUCACGAGCAUAAAACCAUUGCGAUGAACUAGAUAGUGCACUGUAUAUCACAACGGUUAAAGUAUACAACUGUUGUGAUAUAAAAUUAAAUGUAAAGAAGGAAAAAACAUGCCUUUUUAUUUUGGGGUUCUUCUUUCUUAGCUUCACCAGCAUUUGAAGGGCCUUCG